rnacentral:rRNA from 1 species
GAUGAACGCUAGCUACAGGCUUAACACAUGCAAGUCGAGGGGCAGCAUGGUCUUAGCUUGCUAAGGCUGAUGGCGACCGGCGCACGGGUGAGUAACACGUAUCCAACCUGCCGUCUACUCUUGGCCAGCCUUCUGAAAGGAAGAUUAAUCCAGGAUGGGAUCAUGAGUUCACAUGUCCGCAUGAUUAAAGGUAUUUUCCGGUAGACGAUGGGGAUGCGUUCCAUUAGUUAGUUGGCGGGGUAACGGCCCACCAAGACAACGAUGGAUAGGGGUUCUGAGAGGAAGGUCCCCCACAUUGGAACUGAGACACGGUCCAA